GUGCCAGCCGCCGCGGUAAUACGGAGGGAGCAAGCGUUAAUCGGAAUUACUGGGCGUAAAGCGCACGCAGGCGGUCUGUCAAGUCGGAUGUGAAAUCCCCGGGCUCAACCUGGGAACUGCAUUCGAAACUGGCAGGCUAGAGUCUUGUAGAGGGGGGUAGAAUUCCAGGUGUAGCGGUGAAAUGCGUAGAGAUCUGGAGGAAUACCGGUGGCGAAGGCGGCCCCCUGGACAAAGACUGACGCUCAGGUGCGAAAGCGUGGGGAGCAAACAGGAUUAGAUACCCUGGUAGUCCACGCCGUAAACGAUGUCGAUUUGGAGGUUGUGCCCUUGAGGCGUGGCUUCCGGAGCUAACGCGUUAAAUCGACCGCCUGGGGAGUACGGCCGCAAGGUUAAAACUCAAAUGAAUUGACGGGGGCCCGCACAAGCGGUGGAGCAUGUGGUUUAAUUCGAUGCAACGCGAAGAACCUUACCUGGUCUUGACAUCCACAGAACUUUCCAGAGAUGGAUUGGUGCCUUCGGGAACUGUGAGACAGGUGCUGCAUGGCUGUCGUCAGCUCGUGUUGUGAAAUGUUGGGUUAAGUCCCGCAACGAGCGCAACCCUUAUCCUUUGUUGCCAGCGGUUAGGCCGGGAAACUCAAAGGGGACUGCCAGUGAUAAACUGGAGGAAGGUGGGGAUGACGUCAAGUCAUCAUGGCCCUUACGACCAGGGCUACACACGCGCUACGAUGGGCAUAUACAAAGAGAAGCGACCUCGCGAGAGCAAGCGGACCUCAUAAAGUAUGUCGUAGUCCGGAUUGGAGUCUGCAACUCGACUCCAUGAAGUCGGAAUCGCUAGUAAUCGUAGAUCAGAAUGCUACGGUGAAUACGUUCCCGGGCCUUGUACACACCGCCCGUCACACCAUGGGAGUGGGUUGCAAAAGAAGUAGGUAGCUUAACCUUCGGGAGGGCGCUUACCACUUUGUGAUUCAUGACUGGGGUGAAGUCGUAACAAGGUAGCC
rnacentral:rRNA from 1 species